UACGUAGGAGGCAAGCGUUGUCCGGAAUUAUUGGGCGUAAAGCGCGCGCAGGCGGUCCUUUAAGUCUGAUGUGAAAGCCCACGGCUCAACCGUGGAGGGUCAUUGGAAACUGGGGGACUUGAGUACAGAAGAGAAGAGUGGAAUUCCACGUGUAGCGGUGAAAUGCGUAGAGAUGUGGAGGAACACCAGUGGCGAAGGCGACUCUUUGGUCUGUAACUGACGCUGAGGCGCGAAAGCGUGGGGAGCAAACAGG
rnacentral:rRNA from 1 species